UCUGGCAUAGUUUUCAGUACUCACCAGCUUUUCUGCCGGGGUAAAAGACCUGACAUAAACAACUUCAAGGAAGACAGAUGCACUUGGUUCAUGGAUUUAGUACAGACAGAUAAGUUAGAUAGAAAUCAAUAGAUAGUCAGAGAGCCCUUGAGGUGAUCAGUGCGGAAGAGACAGACACAGGAAAAUUUGUGGCUGGAAAUGAAUCUGAAGAGGGCCUGGCCUCGAGGUGGAGGGUUUUGAGUAGUCUAAUGGAAGCAAAAAUAUUUAUGGAAAUUGGAAUCCUGACCACAAAUCAGGACUGACCCUGUAAUAUAACAAAGAAAAGUAUUGCACAGUGGUAUCUCAGUUCACCAACUUCAUUCAUUCUAUGAUUCUGGAAGUGAUAACCAAGCUCCUGUUCAUGUGGGAAAGAUGUCGGAGUCGCUCCCAUCACUGGUUGCAGAGUUUGCAAACAAAAACAAAGUUUUGCCAUACGCUUCUGUUUUCAAACCAAAUUGUUUAUGAGGCACAAUGAAUGUUUUGGCUAAUGUACUUAUUGGAAUGGAAUCAACUCAGAGUAAUUAUUAAAUGAAACACAGAAAGUUA